UACGUAGGGGGCUAGCGUUGUCCGGAUUUAUUGGGCGUAAAGAGCGUGUAGGCGGCUAGGUAGGUCGGUUGUGAAAACUGGAGGCUUAACCUUCAGACGUCGACCGAAACCAUCUGGCUAGAGUCCGGAAGAGGAGAGUGGAAUUCCUGGUGUAGCGGUGAAAUGCGCAGAUAUCAGGAAGAACACCCGUGGCGAAGGCGGCUCUCUGGGACGGUGCUGACGCUGAGACGCGAAAGCGUGGGGAGCGAACAGG
rnacentral:rRNA from 1 species